UCUUUCGUUUUUCCUUUUGCCAAAUAAGGCGAAUUCACGCAUCGGAAGCUUCAACAUGCUUCAUUGACUUUAACUUGAUACACACGUACAUACAACAAAUAAGAAUAAGAGAGAACGAGAGAAAGCGAGAGUGAGAGAGAGACGCUUGCAAUGAGGAAGAAGAAUCCAUUCAUCCUUCCUUCCUUGUGGCCAUAUAUAACAAUUGUUGCCGGUUGAUUUCGUCGCUUAUUCCGAACUCUGCUUGUGCCAAUUUACAGCAUCAGCGUAAAUUUAUUACGAGGUAUUAAUGAUAUUACCAGAACUUGGAACCGGGUAGCGCAGGGUCUCCUCUCUUAAUGAAUGGGAAUCACUCGAGUGUGAGCAAUUGGUAAAUAAACUGAAAAUAAGAUUGUCAAAUAGACCCAACGCAAAGGACAGAUGAUAUGCUAUAAAUGGAACGUGUCUUUCCAUUAAUCAGACGAAAACCAUAAGCAAUCACAGAUCAUGAACAUUUUUCUCAUUUAAAGAAGUUUUGUUCAUAAGUAAAACGGUAAAAAGAAUGAGACAGAAGCCUCGAAAUAAAUGAAUCGACGCCAAUAACAAGCGGAAGAACAAGCAAAUAAACUGAAACGUAAUGAAAUGAAUGGUAAAACGUAAAUGUCAUUUACGUUUAAGGCAGCACAGUUGAGGGAAUCGAGUCGCGAGCAUCGACUGCGAGACAAUCGCAAUUCGUUGCGCAAUUGACGAUUGUCAAAAAUUUGUCAAAAAUACACGAGUUCGAGUACGUUUUACCUUCAUCAGUGCACAGCACUGGGAGCAGCAGAAGCAGCAGCUACAGAAGCAAUAGUAGUAAUAGCAACGACAACAUCAACAGCAUCCGCAUCAACAUCAGUAAGGAAAAUCAGCUUUGAUUUGCCGCUGAAAAUUCAUUGCGCCGGCUGUUUGACGAGACUGAAGCGACACUUGAAUUUCCCUCAAGUUCGUUACGUGUUCUUAUUGCUUCUGUCGUUGCUGCUGUUGAUGUUGUUGUUUCUGCUGCUGUAGAAGCUUCUCUCUGCUGGGUGGAAAAUGAGGCAACAAAUCACCAUUAAUGGCAAUACAAUCGCACAGGUGUUGCAUUGUCAAGAAUUUGAUCCGUAAAUCAAAAUCUGCUAAAACAAAAGUGUGAGAAAACGUUUGUGAAAUAUUC